ACCACCUUACUUGAACAAGACAUGUUCUAUAGGCUCGUACCACUGUAUCCUUGAGUUCUAAGGAGACCGGAAAUUAUUAAUUCUGAACGAUGAACCAUGACCUUUAGAUCAGAACGUGAUUAAAAGUCCCAAGGCCUUUGGACCUUGGAGCCUUAUAGAGGAUCGUUCACUCCGACUCGGAGCUGGGAUGGUCUAAUGGCUAUCUGACAGACU